rnacentral:rRNA from 1 species
GACGAACGCUGGCGGCGUGCUUAACACAUGCAAGUCGAACGGAAAGGCCCUGCUUUUGUGGGGUGCUCGAGUGGCGAACGGGUGAGUAACACGUGAGUAACCUGCCCUUGACUUUGGGAUAACUUCAGGAAACUGGGGCUAAUACCGGAUAGGAGCUCCUGCUGCAUGGUGGGGGUUGGAAAGUUUCGGCGGUUGGGUAUGGACUCGCGGCUUAUCAGCUUGUUGGUGGGGUAGUGGCUUACCAAGGCUUUGACGGGUAGCCGGCCUGAGAGGGUGACCGGCAACAUUGGGACUGAGAUACGGCCCAGACUCCUACGGGAGGCAGCAGUGGGGAAUAUUGCACAAUGGGCGGAAGCCUGAUGCAGCAACGCCGCGUGCGGGAUGACGGCCUUCGGGUUGUAAACCGCUUUCGCCUGUGACGAAGCGUGAGUGACGGUAAUGGGUAAAGAAGCACCGGCUAACUACGUG